rnacentral:rRNA from 1 species
AUUGAACGCUGGCGGCAUGCCUAACACAUGCAAGUCGAACGAGUGGCGGACGGGUGAGUAAUGUCUGGGAAACUGACGGAUGGAGGGGGAUAACUACUGGAAACGGUAGCUAAUACCGCAUACCAUCGGAUGUUCCCAGAUGGGAUUAGCUAGUGGGUGGGGUAAAGGCUCACCUAGGCGACGAUCCCUAGCUGGUCUGAGAGGAUGACCAGCCACACGGGAACUGAGACACGGUCCAGACGCCUACGGGAGGCAGCAGUGGGGAAUAUUGCACAAUGGGCGCAAGCCUGAUGCAGCCAUGCCGCGUGUAUGAAGAAGGCCUUCGGGUUGUAAAGUACUUUCAGCGGGGAGGCGUUACCCGCAGAAGAAGCACCGGCUAACUCCGUGCCAGCAGCCGCGGUAAUAC